rnacentral:rRNA from 1 species
CGUCGUGUCCAGGCCAACAUCGGUUCUGAGGGUCGGUCAAAGGCUCUGGGAAUGUAUCUACUCACGGGUAGACUUAUAGACCGGGGUGUCAUGCGGCCUCUCGGGACCGAGGAACGCGCUUCGGCUCGGAUGUUGGCGUAAUGGUUGUCAACGACCCGUCUUGAAACACGGACCCACACAUAGCGCAACCCGCUCUUCACCCUCCCUCCAGGAAGCCAAACUCACACCUUGACCUCGGAUCAGGUAGGGAUACCCGCUGAACUUAAGCAUAUCAAUAAGCGGAGGAAAAGAAACCAACAGGGAUUGCCCUAGUAACGGCGAGUGAAGCGGCAACAGCUCAAAUUUGAAAUCUGGCCUCUUUGGGGUCCGAGUUGUAAUUUGCAAAGGGUGCUUUGGAGUUGGCAUCGGCCUAAUUUCCUUGGAACAGGGCGUCGCAAAGGGUGAGAACCCCGUACGUGGCCGCCUGCCUUCGCCGUGUAAAGCCCCUUCGACGAGUCGAGUUGUUUGGGAAUGCAGCUCUAAAUGGGAGGUAAAUUUCUUCUAAAGCUAAAUACUGGCCAGAGACCGAUAGCGCACAAGUAGAGUGAUCGAAAGAUGAAAAGCACUUUGGAAAGAGAGUCAAAAAGCACGUGAAAUUGUUGAAAGGGAAGCGCUUGCAGCCAGACUCGCUCGCAGUAACUCGGCCGUGUCCUCUUACACGGCGCAAUCUUCUGCGGGCGGGCCAGCAUCAGUUCUGGCGGUUGGAUAAAGGCCCAUGUCACGUACCUUCCCCUCGGGGUUGGCCUUAUAGGGUGGGCGAAAUGCAGCCAGCUGGAACUGAGGUCCGCGCAUCUGCUAGGAUGCUGGCGUAAUGGCUGUAAGCGGCCCGUCUUGAAA